rnacentral:rRNA from 1 species
AGUGAACGCUGGCGGUAGGCCUAACACAUGCAAGUCGAACGGCAGCACAGUAAGAGCUUGCUCUUACGGGUGGCGAGUGGCGGACGGGUGAGGAAUACAUCGUAAUCUACUUUUUCGUGGGGGAUAACGUAGGGAAACUUACGCUAAUACCGCAUACGACCUACGGGUGAAAGCAGGGGAUCUUCGGACCUUGCGCGAUUGAAUGAGCCGAUGUCGGAUUUGCUAGUUGGGGGGGAAAAGGCCCACCAAGGCGACGAUCCGUAGCUGGUCUGAGAGGAUGAUCGGCCACACUGGAACGGGGACAGGCUCAAGACUCCUACGGGAGGAAGCAGUGGGGAAUAUUGGACAAGGGGCGCAAGCCUGAUCCAGCCAUACCGCGUGGGGGAAGAAGGCCUUCGGGUUGUAAAGCCUGUUUGUUGGGAAAGAAAAGCAGCAGGUUGAUACCCCGCUGUUCUGACGGUACCCAAAGAAUAAGCACCGGCUAACUUCGUG